rnacentral:lncRNA from 1 species
UCUAUCCAAUGCAUUUGAUCCCCUUGAAAACCCGAUUUUAACUUGCCAAAAUUUUGAAUACUAGCCAUACAAGUUUUAGGCUGAAAAAGGAUAAACAAACACAUUCCUAUAAAAUAAACGAAUGCCCAAUUUCCCAUAAUCACAACAAAGAAGUAAAAUUCAGCUGGAUAGUGGAAAUUGAAGGGGAAAAGGGUGUGAAUGAAAAGUAACUUUUGAUCUGUUUACAUGCUAACUAGCCCAUAUAAAACUCUAUAUUCAGCGAUGGAAUCUACCAUCAAACUUGGCAACAAGUAAUAAUAAACUACCACAAGGGCCAAAAUGAUAGAUUACGAAAAUAUAGGGGUAUCUAAAACAGAAUUACAGGUUGUACAAAAACCAAAUAUAUUUGAGACUUCAAAAAAUCACCUACCGGAGUACCAAAAGCAACAAGCACUACUAAAGGGGAACUCUUGAUUUGGCCAUGAAAAGAGAAACCCAGUAGCAGAAUUUAUGCAUUUAGCCACCAACCAUAGCAAGUUCAAUUCAGCCAAAAUUGACCAAAAGAGGCCAUAACUACCAAAUUGAACAAAGACCCACCAGAGUUAAACCCACGCAAAGGACUAAAAUGACGGAAUCAACAGAGGAAAAUCAAUGGGAACUCUUGAUUUGAAAAUUAAAAGAGACACCCAACGACUCGAAGAAGAAGAAGAAGAAGAAGCUUUAAGUUACAUACCAGGUAAACGAGGGAAAUUAAAGGGGCCAAUUCAUAAAUUGACUAAAUUUGGAGAGAUGAAGAAACAAGUGGAAAUUUUGAAGACAAAAAUCCAAACAGAAUGAGAUGAAUCUGUUUGUGUGCUUAUGUCAAAAGAAUUGGAAAGUUCUGAAAUGGGUAUAAAUCUCUUUAAAACCCUG